rnacentral:rRNA from 1 species
UACGUAGGGUGCAAGCGUUGUCCGGAAUUAUUGGGCGUAAAGAGCUCGUAGGCGGUCUGUCGCGUCUGCCGUGAAACCCGAGGCUUAACCUCGUGGCUUGCGGUGGAUACGGGCAGACUAGAGGUAGGUAGGGGAGAAUGGAAUUCCCGGUGUAGCGGUGAAAUGCGCAGAUAUCGGGAGGAACACCGGUGGCGAAGGCGGUUCUCUGGGCCUUACCUGACGCUGAGGAGCGAAAGCGUGGGGAGCGAACAGG